GCUUGACACUGUGGUGUGUGCCUGUAGUCCCAGCUACUCGGGAGGCUGAGGUGGGAGGAUCGCUUGAGCCCAGGAGUUCUGGGCUGUAGUGCGCCAUGCCGAUCGGGUAUCCGCACUAAGUUCGGCAUCAAUACGGUGACCUCCCCAUAGUGGGGGACCACCCGGUUGCCUAAGGAGAGGUGAACCGGCCCAGAUCAGAAAUGGAGCAGGUCAAAACUCCCGUGCUGAUCAGUAGUGGGAUCGCGCCUGUGAAUAGCCACUGCACUCCACCUGGGCAACAUAGUGAGACCCUGUCUCU
rnacentral:SRP_RNA from 1 species